rnacentral:lncRNA from 1 species
UUUUUUUUUCAGGUCACAAUUCUAUCUAGUGGAAGUAGAACUGUUGUAAGUCGGUUUCAAAAUAAGGAAAUGUUCUAGCAACAAAUAUAAACUUGCGCUUUAGAUUAUUCACUAUUUUCGUGUUCAAACAGGAGCAUGGUGUAAUUGGAGAAGAAACCAAAGGGGGUACGGGAUUUCUAAGAUUGUGGAGAAUCUUACAGAUACUGAUUAAAACGGGGGCCCUCGGGAGAGACGAGAACGGGACGAUAGUUGGCCCUUACAAUAUCAAGAGCUUUGACGAGAUAGACCCAAUUUACCUUCCAAAGCCCACCAAGUCCUGCCCCAAUCCUAAAGCUAAAAUGCCCAAACGAGUUCAAGACUCGCUUAACAGAGCACUUUGCAUGUUGGGCACUUUCAGUAUAUCUAGGAAUUAUCGCAAGUUGAAGCCCGGCGAUAUUUACAGUUUUGACAAGGAUGUUCCUGUAUUAACGGAAAAAGGGCGCAUAGCUUCCCAUGCUGUUGCGAUAAUUGGUUAUGGCGUCAGAGGCGGCGAAUGGUACUACGUGUUUCAGAACAGCCAUGGCAAGAUCUGGGGAGAAGAAGGAAUUGGCAGGGUGAACAUCAAUACCGUCCGCCAGCUUGUGCAAGUCAAGAUCUAAAUGCAGAGAUUAAGGCCUGUCACUCUGCUUGUACAUUUGUUCUUCUGCUGUUCUAUUCUACUGACCUAUCCACAUAUACCAUGUUCUGAUUCUUAAGAUGAUCAUCGUGUGAAUCACUUUCACCUCGAUAGUCUGUCUGUAUUACCUUGUAAUGUAAGCUGCUAGUAAUACAAAACUUACAUUGAUGUCUGUUUCCAUCAAGUGCACGGAUGGGUAAUGACUAUGAUGUAACAGAGAUCGCGGAAAUACUCAAUUGACUGUUCCCUUUUUUUCUGGCUGGUGCAUAGUCUUCUUGUGGCUUCGUCCAUGUUAGCCUGGUGUAGUGUAACUUGUUCAAAUUUUGCCUAUGAUCAGUUCAUUUGACCUAUAUUAGCUUUUGCUCUUUCACUGUUCGAUAUACAUGUUCCGCUUAUGCCUUGAGUAAACAUGCUUUCGCAUGUGUGGCAGCUUCUUCUUUUUCUGCCGGUAGAUGUGGUAGUUUCAUGUAGCCUUUGUUAGCCAUAAGAAAAUAUCUUUUUUUAUAAAGAUUCAUCUAUUAUCUCAUAAUGUAGCAUCAAGCGGAUAUAUUCCGUAAUGAGUGACACCCGGUCUCUAUAUAACUAAGGUGCACACAAUUAACACUACACAUCUACUUCAGGACAAUCCUCCUAAACACAUCAACAUAGCAGAUAUCCUCAUAAUUCGAACCCAGCACAUGUAUGCUUAGUACAACUGCGGUAACCAACUGGACUACUUUCUUCUUGUGCCUUGUUACCUUCUUUUUAUUCUUCAAAUAUAACACUAACCAAUGAGAGCCUGUUAGGUUUUUUGGGGGCUCUGGUUUUUCUUUUUGUUUUUUCUUUUUAUUUCUUUUUUAAAAUUCAUGAACUAUAUUUAAAUUGUGAAGUUUUUCUUAAAUCAAUGGACUUUUCAAAUUUGUGAAUAUUUCUUAAGUUCGCGAACUUUGUUUUCAAAUUCAUGAACUUUUUUUCCCCAAAUCUACAAACUCUUUCAACUUAGAACCACAAAUAUGAGAUGUUGAUAGAUAGAUAGGUACGGAUAGUAGAACCAGUAAUUCUCUCCACAGCCACCAUCAAGAGCACCUCAUCUGCCUCGGACACCAGCACCGCUGACCCGACCGCCACGACUGGCAGCAGCGGCACCUCCAAACCUCCCGUCAGCAAUGCCACCAUCUCUGACCCCCAGCGAAGCUAACUCCAUGCCCACGGCCAUGACCGCUACCAUGCCCACGGCCACGCCCAUGGUCACGACCCCUGUGACCAAUGCGACCAGGACCGUACACCAAUCCGAAUAUGUCGUUGAGGUUCUCUUCCUGUUGCGCCCAGAUCUCUUCCCGAAACUCAUCCAUUGCAUGAGCCUCCUCCUCUUCCUCGAUGUAAAGCCGGAAAAUCUCCUGCAACACCAGAUGCAACUCCACCCAAAACUCCAAUAGAGGAUCGACCGCAGAACCCCGUAUUCGCCGUUGUCCGACAUUGAUGAACAAGUGGAGAGUGUAUUAGAGAGGAUACGGUUAUGCAGUGAGGAACUACCCCAUGAAGCUGUCUAAUUAUAUAAGACCCGUCAUUAACUACAAGAGGCAGGUGGCGGUCAAACGUCUCGUCUUCCCAUAUUGUGUUGGAUUGUGCACACGCGUAAAUGCAGCAUCCAUACUACCAUACAAUUUAUUUAAAAUUUAAUUCAUGACUUUCUAAACUAAAUUGAUGUUUUCUAAAUGAAAAAAUGUGCAAAAACUGAUUUUGUUCACAAUGUUCUAGAUCAUAAACUUGCAUUGUUCAAAUUGUUAAUAUCUCAAAUAAUAUGUGAAAUAAUAUUAUUUUUAGAAAAUCAACAGAAUUUUAAAGACAUUAAUAUGAUUAAUAAUAUUGAAUCAAUAUUAUAUUAUAAUUCGAUCUGGUCCAAACAUUAGGUUUAUUAGAAUUCAAUUUGGUCCAAACAUCCGUUUAUUAGAAUUAUUUCAUAAUAUGUAACUUCUCCAAAAAGCAUCCACAUAAAGUUCCGGUGACUCUAACUUGUUACAUGUACUGCCAGUUAUUGUAGCUGCAUUCUAACAUCAAACCCAUCAUAAUCCAAAUCUCGAACACAAAAGUUGUUCAAGGAUGAAAAGUAACAAAGAACAACAUCAAUAACAAAAUUUCCAAGUUGUACAGCAAACUUUUUCAAAACUUUUGGAAGGAGCAUAUUUGGGCGGGCGGUCAUAUGUUUGAAGACCUUCAAUCCAUAAGGAAAGAAGAUGCUCUAUUUCAUUUAGAUGAGAAAAUCAAAUUUGUCAAAGAAUUAUGUUCCUUUCCCUACCUAUAUACUGUCAUGUGUGUUCAUAUCUUCAAGGCAUUCAACCGAUUCAAAGUAGGCUUAACCAUGGAUGUUUCAUGGAAUAGGAAGAUAUAAGAAGAAACAGGAACUAAGAAGAACAGAACAAUGGCUUAAUAAAUGACGGCUUAACUUAUAAUUCAAUAUUAUUAACAUGUGAAACCAUAAUAUGCCCCAUAUAACAUUUGGAAUCUUAGCAUGUCACAACGAACACAGUUAAUAUAGGAUUUCAAGUUAAUAUAGUCAAUAUAUGUUACUACUCAUGAAGUAAAAUAUGUAAUAACUAAAAGUUGAAUAGACUAAGUUUCAUCCUCAGUAACUGAACAAAAAGUAUUCAUAUAUACAUUGUAGCGCUGGAAAUGAUAUUAUCUAUUAUUUUAGAUAAAACACAGUUAAUAUAUCCAAAUAUGUCGAUUGAACAAACCAAACAAACGAAUUGAACCAUCAAUAUGCAAAUUUACUUACCAUAUAUACCCCACAAAUAUUAUAGAUUUCAACUAUGAUACAACAACAAAAGUUAUCAAGAAAAAAAAUGCAAAUAUAACAGACCUUCUCGACUAAGCUUCCGACCGAACUCCACUUAUAUUGCUGAUAAUUUGUAUCUAUUUUUGUAGAUUAAUAUAAUAACUAAUUUUACUUCAUGAUUCUAUUUCUUGUAAGAUGAAAUCGAACCAGCUGAAAGAGAGAGAUAACAACGAAGAAGAACAGGGAAGAAGAGCUAGCUAUCUAUACUCCCAAUGGAUCGUUUUCCUUGGGAGUUGUAUAUGUGUAGAUACACUAACUGUAUGUACCCCACACGAAUAGUUAUCUGACUCAACAGAAAAAUAGAUAUACGAUUAGAUAUACAUAACAUUAGGACACAUUAUACAAAGCAUUAUACAACACAGAAAGACCAUAUACACAAACAUAUGUGCGAAUUUUGGCGCAAAUCAACGGCCCACAAAGUGCAUGCUCCGACACUUGCGUGCCCUAAAUUCUCUUCCGCCAGUCAUGGUGGAGAGUAACUUAGACGAGUGUUAUGCAUAUAAUAAUCUAUAUUACUAUCUUCUCAGUGUAAAGUAACAUAGAUGUAGUAUCACAGUUGGUUGCAUUUAUUAGUUUGUAUACUUAUUUUCCUUUAGAAAGCGUUAUGUGAUAGUAUCAUAUUAUGUUACUCUAAACACCUCUUCUCAUAACUAAUUGCCACAUAAACAACUUUGCCUUCGGAUGUGUUAUGUCACUAGCUUAGUUACUCCCACUAUGACCUGCCUAAAGUUAGACAAAGAUUGUUAUUAAUGUAAGUGCAUGGUCCAGAGAAGAGAUGGUACACAGAAAUUACAGAACAAAGGCCCAAAAUACAAACCAACAGGAAAAAUAACUUUUAUCUUUUAUAAAGUACCAAAAUAUUAAUGUAGCAAGACCGCGGCUAUACCCUAUGACUAGUCGGCUCUAGCAAGAGCCACCGCCCCUGAGGGCGAGGACGAGGUGCAGCACGUCUCCACCCUUGAUAUUGUAGUCCUUGGCAGUCUUGUCGUCGGCGAGCUGCUUGCCGGCGAAGAUGAGCCUCUGCUGCACGGGUGGGAUGCCCUCCUUCUCCUCGACGCGCUCCUUGAUGCGGUCCACCGUGUCGGUGGGGUCGAUGUCGAUCUCAAUCUCCUUGCCGGUGAGCGUCUUGACCUUGAUGGUGGUGCCGCCGCGGAGGCGGAGCACCAGGUGCAGCGUCGACUCCUUUUGCACGUUGUAGUCGGCGAGCGUGCGGCCGUCCUCGAGCUGCUUCCCGGCGAAGAUGAGGCGCUGCUGGUCUGGCGGGAUGCCCUCCUUGUCCUGUAUCUUGGCCUUGACGUUGUCGAUGGUGUCGCUGCUCUCCACCUCCAGCGUGAUUGUCUUGCCCGUCAGGGUCUUCACGAAGAUCUGCAUCUUGUUGUCGUCGGCGGCCGCUCUUUCCUGUUUUGUCGACUCCUCACGAUCGUGUGUUUCGCUCGGUUGCUUUGGAACGAUGGGGCUGUGCUGCUCGGGUCGUGGAUAUUUAUAUCGAAUCGAUCGAUCGAGGCGUUCGAGUCGGGUCGGCAGUCCGGUCCGCGCCGACAUCGCUUGAUCCGUCACGGACUCCGCCGCACACAACGUUCUGUUCGUGGUCAUCUCGUAUUCUCAAAUCAAGUAGGAGUAGUAUUCCGAUCGGGUUCCCAUAAACAUAGAUGUGUAUUGGGGCUACAUACAAAUAUACUUCGUGCAUAUAUAUCUUUGCCUCCGCCGUGCUCCUGCCGUACGUCCCCUAGUACCACGACGAUGGACGAACAACCCGACUGGCUGAAGCUCCCGUCGGACCUCCUGGAACCCAUCGGCCGGAGGACGCGCGAUGCCGUCAUGGGAGUUGCCACCUUCCGCUCCGUCUGCCGGGCGUGGCGCGCUGCCGUGAGACCAACGCCGCGCCUCCUGCUUCCCGCCGCUCCUCGGGGCGGCUCGGAGCACGCGCUCGUCUUCCCCUUGUCACCAGGCGACGCCCGGGACGUCUCCUGUCACCUGAAGCACCUGCCCACGGGCACCACGGGCGCGCUGCCCAAUCUCAACGCCGUCCGUGACGGCAGCGCCGCGUCCGAGAUCACGCAUAUGGGUUACGAGCACGCGCCCGAUCAUGAAGAGCCAAAUCUCAACGACGGCAGCGCCGCGUCCGAGGUCACGCACCUGGGUUACGAGGACGCUCCCGAUCAUGAAGAGCCCAAUCUCAACGCCGUUGGUGACGGCAGCGCCGCGUCCGAGGUCACGCAUCUGGGUGACGAGCAGGCUCCCGAUCAUGAAGAAGCGCCUACCGACAUGGGUCGUGGUGCGCCGGAAGAUGACUGGUAUCGGACGUUCAAAUUUCAAGAUUACUGCCGUACACCCUCUUAUUUUAUUCUUGAAAACGUACCUCGAAUUAUCACACAUUUUCACAUUUGCCGUAUCACCUUCUGCAUGGAGAUACGGGGAUGCUCCGGAUGAGUUCAGGUACAAGCAUUCCGGCGGCGAUGCUCCGGAUGAGUUCAGUUGCCUCCGGCUUGUUGCGGUGCCGGGCAAGGUGCUUUUGCUCAAAAUAUGCGUCAAGUCCUCUAGGCCGGAGGGGUUCCACGUCUUCGAGUUAUCGUCCGGGUCAGAGAAAGGUGACGGAGGGCCCGUCUGGCGCAAGGUGGCCGCGGACGACAUCGGUGGCGACCACGAAUUAUUCUUGGAUAGCUACCAUGCCGCCUUUGGCGAUGAUCGUGACGGCGGUGGGACACGGAUUUAUUAUUUUCAUGAUGAUUACUCGUCUGCGGUAACUAGUUGCGCCGCGGCGUACUGCUACAAUAUGAAGGAUAAUAAGCUCGAGUGCGUGUACAUGCCAUCUCGGGAGAACGGUGACAUAUAUACAACUAGGCCUAGUUGGUUUGUCCCUGGCUAAGAUAGCUAGUUUGUUGUGCAAAGAAAAGAUCCUUUGAAGCCACGUUUUAGUUGUUAAUUCAUAAUAAUUGUCAAAUCAAACAUUACGUAGUUGGUGAGUGAGCACUCGGUUUCUGAUCCUUUUUUUGAAGAUAACCCCGGACUCUGUGUCAGAACGAUGCAUGUGGUCAAUUGUUUUUUUAGUUGACUUAUUAAAGGAUUUCUUUAUGUUUUCCUUUCCAUCGAUGAGAACGACGAUGCACACCAGCAGAACAAAACCACCGUCCAGUGGCUGGAAGGAGAUAAGCUCUAGCGACCCUGGCAACCUACUCGCGCGCAAUCCCCCCUCCCCCCCCCCCUCCCGCCACGCCCAUGGGCAGUGCCCAAAUCCUACCCGGCAAGGCAUGGGUAGAUUUUGUGUUCAUGGGUAUGCCCACCCUACCUCGGUUGUCUUAUCGGUGUGUCACAUGUGUAAUAAAUACUAAGCUACCAAGUCUUUGUAUGUAAUUGGCUUCGUUUCUCAUUCCAUCCUCCUCCCAACAACCAAUUUCUCAACCAUAGAAACCUCUCGGUGGUUGGAGUCUCCACCAUACAAUGGACUAGCAACUACGCCACCACCCAUCGACAUUGUGUUGAGCAGCCUGAUGGGUACCCAUUGGUAUGGGCAUGUGCAUGAUAUUUACCCGAUGGGUAUGGAUGAACAACAAACUUAUGUACUUCCCCUGUUUCAAAAAGAGUGAAAUGCGUCAUUAGUCAUACAUUAACUUAAACUUAAAGCACGCUUUAGACCAAGAACUCGGGAAGUGAACGAAUUUAGUCCAUAAACUUACAAAUUUUAUCUAAUAAGGUCAAUACCGAUCUAGGAGGUAUUAACUUAAACUAAAAGCACGUUUUAGACCAAGAACUCGGGAAGUGAACGAAUUUAGUCCAUAAACUUACAAAUUUUAUCUAAUAAGGCCAAUACCAAUCUAGGAGGUAAAAAACCGACCACGUGACUGCCACGCCGGUGUACAGGGUAAAUUUUUUAACAUGAACUCUACGUGAUUUGAACCCAUGCCCUUGGGUGUAGCAAAGGGCUCGCUAACCAGUAGGACAUUAAGACAUUUAUAUAAAAUGAUGAAGCGGAUAUUAUAUAUUACAAGAUGAAGAUUCAGUUCAUUAGGGCCUCAAGAAAAAAGAUUCAGCUAAUUCUUUUAAACAUGUGUUCAAAAAACAUAUGGAAAGGGAGCAUUGCAUGCUGACCAUUAUCUAUAUCUAUAUCUAUAUCUAUAUCUAUAUACCUUAUAAUAAAAAGGCUAUUGCUUCUGGCGGUAUGUCAUGAAAAUUGCCACAAAAAUAUAAAAUAUUACCCACCAAUGCCAUCUAUAUAAAAAAAUGAGUCUAAACACACUUGACUUUAUUGAUUAUAAAAGUUCAUAGGAAUACAAUGUAGAUCCGACAGAUAAAGGAGCCACACAUGACGCCCUAAAGAAAAGCCUAGAGUAUGUUUAGCGAGGCUAUGUGCCUCAAGACUAGUUUCUCUUCCUUCGAAGAUGAAGGAACAACGAGAGAACUGCUGAGAUGUAAGAUUGAUCUCCUUAAUAAUGCUAGAGUGUAGCCCACCCAUAUUUCCGUGGAUAUCUUUGAUCACACCUUGACAGUCUGAACCUAUCUGUAUGUCUUCAAAUGAUAAGUCAAGAGCAAGUGAGAACACUUCUCAAUAAACCAAUGCCAUCUAUAAGUGAUAAAAACAUGUUUUACACAAGGCAAUCCACGCCUGGGCCGGCCCAUGCAGUAUGUACUUCCUAUACCGUGCUCUGGUGCUGGGAGAAGACGCAACGCGCCUGUUUGGGGCAGCCCAUGUCUGGACGGUCUUUUAAAUUUCUUUUUUUAUUAUUUAUUUAUUUAAAAUAAUUUGGGACCUCAAAAUUGUUCCGAAAAUAAAAAAUAAUUUUGAAAUAAAAUGUUUGUCAGUUCCAAAAAUGUUUGCGAUUUUGUAAAAAAUGUUUGCUUAUUCAAAAAAGAUUGCAAUUUCAAAAAUAAAUGUUCAGGAAAUAAAAAAAUGUUCAUGAUUUUUAUAAAGUUCGUGUAUUAAAAACUGUUAAUGAAAUUGAACAAAAUUUUGUAAAUUCAAAAAAUAUUCAUGAGUGGAAAAAUAUCCUAAAAAUUAAAAAACUAUUCAUGACUUACGAAAUAGUUUAUUCAUUAAUAAAAUGUUCACUGGUUCAGAAAAUGAUCUUGCAUUUCAAGAAGUGUUCGUUAAAUAAGAAAAGUGUUCGUUAAAUCAGAAAAAUGUUUGUGAAUUUCAAAAAUGAUUCUACCUAUUUAAAAAAAUCAUUGAUUCUAGAAAUGUUCGCUAUUCACGGAAAUUGUUUUAAAAAAUGUCCACAAUUUUUUAAAAAUGUUUGAAAAUAGUAUAAUUUUUUUAUGAAUUCAAAAUGUGUUCUUGAUUUUAGAAAUUGUUCAAGAAUUUGUAAAAGUGUUCACAAAUCUAAAAAAUAUUCAUGAUUUCAAAUAUGUGCACGAGUUUAAAAAGAUGUUCCUGAUUUCACGGAAUUGAGAGUGAUAGUGUAUCUUGAUGAUGCAUCAAAUGUGGGCAUGGCCAUUGGAAAUUGUAAGGCGGAUUCUAGAACCCCAAGGAUUCAAUAGUAUAUGGAUAUGAAAAAUGUAAGAUUUCUGAUCCUAGCGGGAAAAGGCGGGGAACAAAUACCCAAUAGGAUAGGAUCCUUGGUAGGAACUUUCGGUAAUAGUUUUCUUUUCUCCCGUUGCAGUGAGCUGCCAUUUUGCUAUAGAAUUCAAAGUAUUUUGUGUCUUCAAAGGCUUACAUUACUUAUGUUGGUAACAUUAAGAUCCCAACCAUAAUAUAUAUACAUCUUCAGAACAAUAUACAAGCUCCCUCGCAAAAAGAAAAAGAUAACAAUAUAUAAGGUCACCUUAAGAGAAAAUAUAACAGUGCAAUAUAUACCCUUGGUAUCAUCACCUGAUCACGUAUCUGCGAUUGCUUGAUGGCACGAAAUCAUUAAAAUAUAUUAAAUCAGCUUCUCUUAUACAAAAUCAGGUGUCCCCUACCGGUUAUCAAGGCCAUUAUCCUCUCUCACGGCGUGGGUUCAACUCCCAUUCAUAGCAUUUUAUUUUAUUUUAUUUCCUUCAUACGCCAUUAGCUGGGCUAUGAAAAAAAAAGCAGUCACUUUGUAAAAAGGUCCCUGUAAAAAAGUUGGUUUGCGAGCAAGCAAGGGUAUGCUGAUAUGGUAGCCACGUCUUCGGUUUUUUACCUUCCGGAUCGGCUUUGGCAAGUCCCAUUCAUAACAUUGCAUUUUAUUUUAUUUUCCUCCAUAGAAAACCGGCCACUUUAUAAAAAGGUCCCCAUAAAUAAGUUAGUAAGCCAGCAAGCAAAGGGUACGCUAACAUGGCAGCCACGUCAUCGGCUUUUUACCUUCCGGAUCGAUUUUGACCUUAUUUGAUCAAAUUAAUGAGUUUCUGAACUAAAUUCAAUCCCCUUUUUAGUUGUUGGCCUAAAGCGUGCAACCAAUUACUCACUCUUUCAAAACAAAUCUUAUACCUUCUUUUGUUUAGAAAUAAUUAAAGUUUUAGAAUUAUCCUAAGUCAAACUUCAUUGAAUUUGAUUAAGUCUUAGAAAUAGAAGCUGAUAGCUCGCAAAAUAGUGGGAUCAUCGGUGAUAUAAAACGUCUUCUUCAGCUAGAUGGAAACUUUACCAUCUCGACCAUAUGUCACUUGUGCAACGGUGUAGCUCAUGAUCUUCCUUUUUUUUCAAAAAUGAUCCAAUCUAUUAUUAAAGUUCCUCAGAAGUAUAGAGCACCUUAAACAUAAUAAAACUACAUCGAAAUUCUAAAAAAAGUGACCACUGCCGUUCUCAGAACAAGCCGUCAAUGCCACUUUCUAAAACCACUGAACGACCACUAUCAUCGCCAGAACGAACCGCCGACGUGCCACUGUCGCUAUUAUCAGAGCCGGUUUGAUUGAUGUUGUUGAUGACAGCUGAGAGGUCUUCAUGUACGGGUCCCCAAGAACCAGUAUCCUGAAGCCGCCGUUGUUGCAUCAAAUCUUGUUACUCUAGGGCUCCGUCAAGAAGACUAUCAAAAAGACCAAAUCUACUCUGGGGCUCAAGAAGACCAAAUCUCAUCGCCCCAAAAAGACUACACGAAUCUACGAAUCUACUCUAGGGCUCCGUCAAGUACGUCCAUGAACGAACUCGAGAAAAAUCAGAGCUCGAGCUCAAAACACAAACUGGAAUAAGAAGCGUCGCCAUCCACCUAAGUGCCCCAUCUAUGAAAUUAGAAACAACGAAAAACUCAUAACCUAAACCAGGCAACCGGGUUCCUCUCCUCGCUGGAGCAACAGAGGAAAGACGAAUUCAUGGGUCGCCGACAAAGAGAGGUGGCUCAUGGUCUUCCUCAGCUUGGUUAUCACAACAAUGAUGUGGUUUAUGGUCUUGUGUGGCUUACGGUCCUGCUCAGUUUGGGUAUCACAACAAGCGCACUCCGAUGUGGCUUAGAUCGGGUCCCUCAUUCGCUGUAGUCCAACCACAAUGGUUAAGCAAUGAAAUCUUUUAUUCUUGCAUUUUCUAUUAAGUCUAUAUAAAAAUAUAGACAUCUAUAACCUCAAAUUUAUUAUGAGAAUAUAUUUUCAUAUUAUAUAUAUAUUUUAUAUUGUAGAUCUCAAUAGAUUUUUGUUUAGACUUGGUCAUUUUUCUUAAGAAAAUCGAAGAAGUACAAAUAUUUUGCAACAAGUAAAACUUGUAACAAGCCAAAAGACUUCAAGUACGUUUAGGAACGAAGAAAAUAACUCACAGAAACUAUUUAUUCGUUCUUACACACUGAUGCGAGUGGGUAGGUAAUACACACGACGCGCCCACAUAUGACUCAUCACGGCUCAGCGGCACUUAUUUAUGGCUAACUCAGUAGCUAGCUCUACUACUAGUGCAUUAGUUCACGACUAGUGGCGCGUCGACGCGUCGGCCAUCGAUCAGGCGGUCGUCGAGCCGCACGAAGCGCAGUUGCAGGCCGCGCCGCAGGAGCAGUUGGCCCUCCUGUUCGCCCGCCCGGACGGCGUCCCCUCGCGCCCGCACGCGCACGGGUUGCACCCACAGUGCUCGCCGCACCCGCACGUCGUGUGCUCCCCCGCCGCCGCGUCGCUCCUCGCCGAGGUGCACCUGCAGCCCGUGCCGCCGGGGCACGGCACGGCGCACCCGCACUUGUCGUUGCAGCCCAUCUGGAUCUCCGGCGUGCCUUGCUCGCAGUAGCUCUUGUCAGUUCACCACUAUGGCCACACUGUAUGCC